AACGCACAUUGCGCCCGCCAGUACUCUGGCGGGCAUGCCCGUUCGAGCGUCAUUUCAACCCUCAAGCUCUGCUUGGUGUUGGGGUCCUGCGGCUGCCGCAGGCCCUGAAAUACAGUGGCGGGCUCGCUGCAACCUCCGAGCGUAGUACAUAACUAUCUCGCUAGGGAGGCGCGGCGCGCUCCGGCCGUUAAAGAACCCCAUUCUUUAGCACAAGGUUGACCUCGGAUCGGGCAGGAGUACCCGCUGAACUUAA
rnacentral:misc_RNA from 1 species